UACGUAGGGUGCGAGCGUUAAUCGGAAUUACUGGGCGUAAAGCGUGCGCAGGCGGUUCUGCAAGUCAGAUGUGAAAUCCCCGGGCUUAACCUGGGAACUGCGUUUGAAACUACGGAGCUAGAGUGCGGCAGAGGGGGGUGGAAUUCCACGUGUAGCAGUGAAAUGCGUAGAUAUGUGGAGGAACACCGAUGGCGAAGGCAGCCCCCUGGGCCGACACUGACGCCUCAGGCACGAAAGCGUGGGGAGCAAACAGG
rnacentral:rRNA from 1 species